UACGGAGGGUGCAAGCGUUAUCCGGAUUCACUGGGUUUAAAGGGUGCGUAGGCGGGCAGGUAAGUCAGUGGUGAAAUCUCCAAGCUUAACUUGGAAACUGCCGUUGAUACUAUCUGUCUUGAAUACUGUGGAGGUGAGCGGAAUAUGUCAUGUAGCGGUGAAAUGCUUAGAUAUCUACUGGAACGCCGAUGGUGAAGACGGUCGGCUGGGCCUUUCCUGACGCUGAGGCACGAAAGCGUGGGGAGCAAACAGG
rnacentral:rRNA from 1 species